rnacentral:rRNA from 1 species
CGCUAGCGGCGGGCUUAACACAUGCAAGUCGAGCGCCCUUCGGGGAGCGGCGAACGGGUGAGUAACACGUAGGUCAUCUACCUCUUGGUGGGGAAUAGCCCGGGGAAACCCGGAUUAAUACCGCAUGUGGUCUUCGGAUCAAAGCCUUCGGGCGCCAAGAGAUGAGCCUGCGUCCCAUUACCUAGUAGGUAGGGUAACGGCCUACCUAGGGAGCGAUGGGUAGCUGGUCUGAGAGGAUGAUCAGCCACACUGGGACUGAGACACGGCCCAGACUCCUACGGGAGGCAGCAGUGGGGAAUAUUGCGCAAUGGGCGAAAGCCUGACGCAGCCACGCCGCGUGUGUGAUGAAGGCCCUCGGGUCGUAAAGCACUGUUUGGAGGGAAGAAGUUCUGACGGUACCUCCCAAGAAAGCACCGGCUAACUCCGUGCCAGCAGCCGCGGUAAU